UUAACGGAGAGUUUGAUCCUGGCUCAGGACGAACGCUGGCGGCGUGCUUAAGACAUGCAAGUCGAGCGAGGCCCGGGGG
rnacentral:rRNA from 1 species